GGCCUCCUGGUGCUUACCACAGGCUGUGUUCUUACACUGACUGUAUAGAAAGAGGAGGCAGAGUAAACGCACCCCAUAUACACCUCAGCCCAGGCCAAAAAAAAAAAAAAAGACUUGAAUAGAUGGUUCUUCAAAA